UUGAAAGAGAAACUAUCAGGAUUCUCACCAAGUAGAAAGGAAUUAUCCUUAAAGAAAAUUCUGGAGUUUGUUGAUGGCAAGAACAGUUAAAUCUAAAACUGGUACUUUUGAAUAAUGUAUGAUGAAUGCUGGAAUAGUAUGUGUACUAUACAGUUCCUACUUUAUCUUGAUUGAACAGAAGAAAUGUGGCAAAACAGUUUUAGACAAUGCAAGAUGUUUUUUUUUCUUUAUUGUUUUCUGUGAAAAGUUUUCAAUGAAUUGAAUGAAAAUGUGUUUGUCAUGAUAAAAUUACUAAUAAGCAAGGAAAGGAUUCUUUGAUGAAGUCUUGUUGUGAUUUGAAGUUCAUGUCAUACUAACACUAAGACAUCUGCAUAUAAAUCUUCUGUUUGAUUUAUUUUAUGGUCAGCACUUCAUGGUCCAUCAGUGAAACCUACUUUCUGGGUCUUGUAUAGACUAUUGAGAUCAAAUAUUAGCUAAAACAAUGAAAGAUUUAACCACUGCAGUGGUAUAGCUAGGGAUUUGGGAGCCAAGGGGGCUUGACCUCUUUAGGGGCCCCUGCUUUUUGACAUUCUAAAUCAUGACAUGAAAUAAUGGCGUAAUAUUUAAUGUGAAACAAAUUUCGGACACUCAUUUGGGGACCCCUUUCAAGUAAGGGCCAGAGGGUGUUGGACCUCACCCUAACUACGCCACUGAACAACUAUCUUUUUUACUGUUUGUAUUUCUACAUUUCAUCCUUAUUAACAUCUACAUUGAGCACAAUCAAUUUAUAUACAUAAUAAAGUAAUCACUUUAUGGUUAUUUCUUUUUUUCUCUUUUACUGUGCCUUAUCCAUUACAUAAAUGUUAUUGAGAUUACCAAUUUGGGCUCAAGUGACAAAAAAUGUUUGGGCAUUUUGAGUUGUUUUUACUGAGUAACUAAUAGUAGCUCAGAAUGCUUUGAUACCAUGCCCUAAAGAAAAAAAAGAGUUCACUGAUAUCUAUGCCCUUGAGAAAAAGAGUUCACUGAUAGCUAUGCCCCACAUGUCCACAAAUAAGAUUGUACAAAUGUGGCUUUGAGCAUGGAGAGACACUUAACUACUUCUACUACUACAAUCUGAUACGCUUGUACAUCCUUUUUUUUUUUUCUGUGAAUAUGGAGUUUUUUAAUAAGUGCCUUCAUAAAUCUAAAUGUUUGAUUUAAGUGUAUAUUUUUUUGAAGGAAUAUGUGCUCCAUAUUUAAUAUUAAUCAUGUGUAAAAAAUGUUUCUGGUCUGUUUGCAAUAAAAUUUGGCAUUCUAUUGUC
rnacentral:sRNA from 1 species